CGCUCAAUCUCGUUCCCCGAGCCUGCGAUCCUUGGGAAGGAAACGAAGGCUCUGGGAUAAUCCAUGUCAGACAUACAUGCAGAAAACUGUAUGUCGACCGAACUGCGCAUGCGUUGGCAAAAGCAAAACAAAUUGUUUGAAAUAUUUUAUUGUUUCGUCUAUAAAAUGAUGAUUUUUUCUGGGUUUUGGUGGAAAUGUUGAUGUUCUUCAUAGUGGGAUACAAAAGAU